GCGCUCAAAAAGUUUGCCCGCCUCAUC
rnacentral:sRNA from 1 species